rnacentral:rRNA from 1 species
AUCCUGCCAGUAGUCAUAUGCUUGUCUCAAAGAUUAAGCCAUGCAUGUCUCAGUGCAAGCCAAAUUAAGGUGAAACCGCGAAUGGCUCAUUAAAUCAGUUAUGGUUCCUUAGACCGUACCCACAUUUACUUGGAUAACUGUGGUAAUUCUAGAGCUAAUACAUGCAAACAGAGUCCCGACCGGAGACGGGAGGGACGCUUUUAUUAGAUCAAAACCAAUCGGCCGGCUCGCCCGGUCCGUUUGCCUUGGUGACUCUGAAUAACUUUGAGCCGAUCGCACGGUCUCCGUACCGGCGACGCGUCUUUCAAAUGUCUGCCUUAUCAACUGUCGAUGGUAGGUUCUGCGCCUACCAUGGUUGUAACGGGUAACGGGGAAUCAGGGUUCGAUUCCGGAGAGGGAGCCUGAGAAACGGCUACCACAUCCAAGGAAGGCAGCAGGCGCGCAAAUUACCCACUCCCGGCACGGGGAGGUAGUGACGAAAAAUAACGAUACGGGACUCAUCCGAGGCCCCGUAAUCGGAAUGAGUACACUUUAAAUCCUUUAACGAGUAUCCAUUGGAGGGCAAGUCUGGUGCCAGCAGCCGCGGUAAUUCCAGCUCCAAUAGCGUAUAUUAAAGUUGUUGCGGUUAAAAAGCUCGUAGUUGGAUCUGUGUCCCACGCUGUCGGUUCACAGCCCGUCUGUGCUUAACUGGCACGCCCGUGCGGACGUCCUGCCGGUGGACGCGGCCGGGGCGGUAAGCGUGGCCUCCGGGCCCGCCCCGCUUACCGGCGGUCCGAUCAAAUCCUACCGCGGUGCUCUUAACCGAGUGUCGAGGUGGGCCGGCACGUUUACUUUGAACAAAUUAGAGUGCUUAAAGCAGGCAGUGUUAGCCUGAAUACUGUGUGCAUGGAAUAAUGGAAUAGGACCUCGGUUCUAUUUUGUUGGUUUUCGGAAUUUGAGGUAAUGAUUAAUAGGGACAGGCGGGGGCAUUCGUAUUGCGACGUUAGAGGUGAAAUUCUUGGAUCGUCGCAAGACGAACCUAAGCGAAAGCAUUUGCCAAGGAUGUUUUCACUAAUCAAGAACGAAAGUUAGAGGUUCGAAGGCGAUCAGAUACCGCCCUAGUUCUAACCAUAAACGAUGCCAGCUAGCGAUCCGCCGAAGUUCCUCCGAUGACUCGGCGGGCAGCUUCCGGGAAACCAAAGCUUUUGGGUUCCGGGGGAAGUAUGGUUGCAAAGCUGAAACUUAAAGGAAUUGACGGAAGGGCACCACCAGGAGUGGAGCCUGCGGCUUAAUUUGAC